UGGGGAAUAUUGCACAAUGGAGGGAACUCUGAUGCAGCGACGCCGCGUGAACGAAGAAGGCUUUCGAGUCGUAAAGUUCUUUUAUAUGGGAAGAUAAUGACGGUACCGAAAAAGCAAGCCACGGCUAACUACGUGCCAGCAGCCGCGGUAAUACGUAGGUGGCAAGCGUUGUCCGGAAUUAUUGGGCGUAAAGCGCGCGCAGGCGGUCACUUAAGUCCAUCUUAGAAGUGCGGGGCUUAACCCCGUGAUGGGAUGGAAACUGGGAGACUGGAGUAUCGGAGAGGAAAGUGGAAUUCCUAGUGUAGCGGUGAAAUGCGUAGAUAUUAGGAAGAACACCGGUGGCGAAGGCGACUUUCUGGACGAAAACUGACGCUGAGGCGCGAAAGCGUGGGGAGCAAACAGG
rnacentral:rRNA from 1 species